GGGUUGUGAGGUUAAGCGACUAAGCGUACACGGUGGAUGCCCUGGCAGUCAGAGGCGAUGAAGGACGUGCUAAUCUGCGAAAAGCGCCGGCGAGGUGAUAUGAACCUUUGACCCGGCGAUGUCCGAAUGGGGAAACCCAGUGUGAUUCGUCACACUAUCGUUAACUGAAUACAUAGGUUAACGAGGCGAACCGGGGGAACUGAAACAUCUAAGUACCCCGAGGAAAAGAAAUCAACCGAGAUUCCCCCAGUAGCGGCGAGCGAACGGGGAGCAGCCCAGAGUCUGAAUCAGCUUGUGUGUUAGUGGAAGCGUCUGGAAAGUCGCACGGUACAGGGUGACAGUCCCGUACACGAAAGCACACAGGUUGUGAACUCGAAGAGUAGGGCGGGACACGUGGUAUCCUGUCUGAAUAUGGGGGGACCAUCCUCCAAGGCUAAAUACUCCUGACUGACCGAUAGUGAACCAGUACCGUGAGGGAAAGGCGAAAAGAACCCCGGCGAGGGGAGUGAAAAAGAACCUGAAACCGUGUACGUACAAGCAGUGGGAGCACCUUCGUGGUGUGACUGCGUACCUUUUGUAUAAUGGGUCAGCGACUUAUAUUCUGUAGCAAGGUUAACCGUAUAGGGGAGCCGAAGGGAAACCGAGUCUUAACUGGGCGUUAAGUUGCAGGGUAUAGACCCGAAACCCGGUGAUCUAGCCAUGGGCAGGUUGAAGGUUGGGUAACACUAACUGGAGGACCGAACCGACUAAUGUUGAAAAAUUAGCGGAUGACUUGUGGCUGGGGGUGAAAGGCCAAUCAAACCGGGAGAUAGCUGGUUCUCCCCGAAAGCUAUUUAGGUAGCGCCUCGUGAACUCAUCUUCGGGGGUAGAGCACUGUUUCGGCUAGGGGGCCAUCCCGGCUUACCAACCCGAUGCAAACUACGAAUACCGAAGAAUGUUAUCACGGGAGACACACGGCGGGUGCUAACGUCCGUCGUGAAGAGGGAAACAACCCAGACCGCCAGCUAAGGUCCCAAAGUCAUGGUUAAGUGGGAAACGAUGUGGGAAGGCACAGACAGCCAGGAUGUUGGCUUAGAAGCAGCCAUCAUUUAAAGAAAGCGUAAUAGCUCACUGGUCGAGUCGGCCUGCGCGGAAGAUGUAACGGGGCUAAACCAUGCACCGAAGCUGCGGCAGCGACGCUUAUGCGUUGUUGGGUAGGGGAGCGUUCUGUAAGCCGUUGAAGGUGUGCUGUGAGGCAUGCUGGAGGUAUCAGAAGUGCGAAUGCUGACAUAAGUAACGAUAAAGCGGGUGAAAAGCCCGCUCGCCGGAAGACCAAGGGUUCCUGUCCAACGUUAAUCGGGGCAGGGUGAGUCGACCCCUAAGGCGAGGCCGAAAGGCGUAGUCGAUGGGAAACAGGUUAAUAUUCCUGUACUUGGUGUUACUGCGAAGGGGGGACGGAGAAGGCUAUGUUAGCCGGGCGACGGUUGUCCCGGUUUAAGCAUGUAGGCGGAACGACCAGGUAAAUCCGGUCGUUUUUUAACGCUGAGGUGUGAUGACGAGGCACUACGGUGCUGAAGUAACAAAUGCCCUGCUUCCAGGAAAAGCCUCUAAGCAUCAGGUAACAUCAAAUCGUACCCCAAACCGACACAGGUGGUCAGGUAGAGAAUACCAAGGCGCUUGAGAGAACUCGGGUGAAGGAACUAGGCAAAAUGGUGCCGUAACUUCGGGAGAAGGCACGCUGAUAUGUAGGUGAAGCCCCUGCGGGUGGAGCUGAAAUCAGUCGAAGAUACCAGCUGGCUGCAACUGUUUAUUAAAAACACAGCACUGUGCAAACACGAAAGUGGACGUAUACGGUGUGACGCCUGCCCGGUGCCGGAAGGUUAAUUGAUGGGGUUAGCGGCAACGCGAAGCUCUUGAUCGAAGCCCCGGUAAACGGCGGCCGUAACUAUAACGGUCCUAAGGUAGCGAAAUUCCUUGUCGGGUAAGUUCCGACCUGCACGAAUGGCGUAAUGAUGGCCAGGCUGUCUCCACCCGAGACUCAGUGAAAUUGAACUCGCUGUGAAGAUGCAGUGUACCCGCGGCAAGACGGAAAGACCCCGUGAACCUUUACUAUAGCUUGACACUGAACACUGGUCCUUGAUGUGUAGGAUAGGUGGGAGGCUUUGAAG
rnacentral:rRNA from 1 species